AGCUCAGUUGGUAGAGCAUCUCGUUUACACCGAGAGGGUCGGCGGUUCGAACCCGUCGCCGCCUACCA
rnacentral:tRNA from 1 species